AUAGACAAAAGGCCUUGAAAACAACUCCCCCCCCCAACCACCACCACCCCUUCCCAGCCCCGACGAGUCACGCGUCCCAGGGUGUGAUCGUCACCCAAGCGGCGUGUCUCGCGUUACCGUGGGUCGCGGGGCACGGGGCGGGAGAGGGGUGGAGGGGGGGGGGGCACGCCGAUUCUGCCGUCACCUCCGAAGAACACUUCCACUUCUCUACAAUUCGCCUUUGUAACAAAACAAAAAAAAGCAGUCGAGAGAGAGAACGUCCGAGGGGCGACGCCUCGUUACGUGCCACCAGCGUAUACUUUCCCCGGCCGAAGGUUUAUAGCGGUGUGUGUGUGUGUUAGUUUCCUUCGUGGGGAGCGGUAGCGAACCUGGCGUCCCGACCUCGACUCCCGCUCACGGCCAACACCAAGUGAUGAUUAUCUGAACCGAUCCUGGGCCUCCCCUAGGUCGACUCAGCCUCAAGUGAGGCUCCCCUCCUGACUGCAGCCGACCGAGUGACUGUCGAGCACUCGGAAUGGCAAGGAGCUCGCCGCUUCGGGGCAAUGGGCCAGCAGGGAGCGCCUUGUGUUGGCGGCGGAUGGUGGAUGGCUGCCAUGCACAGCAUCGGCUUUGCGCGCGUGCGUGCGUGCGCUCCCACACUCGAUCGGUCGAGGGGUGGGCUCGGCUCAUUUUCAUCCAGGGUCGAUGAAAUGACGACCACUCUGUUGAAGAUUCACGAGACGUGACCUUGCAUUAUCAUCAUUUGUUCAUUCAUUGUGUUUGUUCCAUAGAGCCACCCAACGUUAAGAAACCCUCAUUCAAAAGGAAAGUGCACAAUAUAAAUGAAACGCAUACAAUAGUCAAAGUAUCUCAUUACUUCCGCGCGAUUUUGCCAGUGCUCAUCUUUAUUGGCCACCAUGUGCAAGUUGGUGGAGAUUUCACAGUUCUAUGGUGGGGAGAAGUCUAUUUAAAAAAAAAAACACCAAUGCUGACCAGUAACAAUAUCACUUGGCCAGUUAUAAUAGUUAUGACUCGAAUCCAACAGCAUACUAUUCUACAUCUGCUUGCCACAUACUAAAAAAUUGAAAACAGUUACAGCUGUACCUAAAUAAACAGAAUACAAAUAUUA